GGGUUGUGAGGUUAAGCGACUAAGCGUACACGGUGGAUGCCCUGGCAGUCAGAGGCGAUGAAGGGCGUGCUAAUCUGCGAUAAGCGCCGGUAAGGUGAUAUGAACCGUUAUAACCGGCGAUACCCGAAUGGGGAAACCCAGUGUGACUCGUCACACUAUCAUUAACUGAAUCCAUAGGUUAAUGAGGCGAACCGGGGGAACUGAAACAUCUAAGUACCCCGAGGAAAAGAAAUCAACCGAGAUUCCCCCAGUAGCGGCGAGCGAACGGGGAGGAGCCCAGAGCCUGAAUCAGCAUGUGUGUUAGUGGAAGCGUCUGGAAAGGCGCGCGAUACAGGGUGACAGCCCCGUACACAAAAGCGCAUGUGCUGUGAGCUCGAUGAGUAGGGCGGGACACGUGGUAUCCUGUCUGAAUAUGGGGGGACCAUCCUCCAAGGCUAAAUACUCCUGACUGACCGAUAGUGAACCAGUACCGUGAGGGAAAGGCGAAAAGAACCCCGGCGAGGGGAGUGAAAAAGAACCUGAAACCGUGUACGUACAAGCAGUGGGAGCCCCACCACCAAAGCAUUUGCUGUAC
rnacentral:rRNA from 1 species